rnacentral:lncRNA from 1 species
AGAAGCCCUGUCAUCUGCAAACAAAGGCAGCUCCUGCAGGAUGGAGUGUGUGCAGAAUGUAAAGAGGGACGUGUCUGUAGGCAGCCUACAGAAGAUUGCCACGUUGCUGCCAUGCACACAAAAAGUUCCUGACUUUUGGUACCAGGCUCACCACCCUGACAGGCAACCUGGUGCACUGAAGAAAAAGAAAGGAUCCUUGCUUCAGAGAAGAAUUCAGUGCAACAAUUGAACAUCAGUAUGAACUUCCAGGCUAUAAGGAAAGCUAAACCAGGUCAGAUGAGCAGAAGUGGUGAUUGGCUGCAAGUGGACUGAACCUGAGGAUUCUGGGAGACAAGAGCAGAAGGUAAGUGGGACACCUCCAUAAGUACUGCAAAACACCACAGGAGCGAUCAGAGGCACAUUUGACCAUCACAUCAGCUACAUGAGCACCCUGAAAUAUCAGGAAAUUGCCUAAAUAUAAUCUGGGAUCAGCAGUUAUUGAGCAAAUUGGAGGAGUUUUUAGAUGUAACUAAUAGGGGCUAGGAGGUUGUCUUCUCACCAUCCAAGGAAUGUAUUUGAAAUGCCAAUCAAUAGGCCUUUGUUUUGAGUCUCUGCUUUUUUACUAGGAUAUCUAUAAAACAGCUCUACACUGUAAGAAAUACAGUGUGCUGAAAGAACAAAUAAAAUGGACAUGAACUCAGUGGCA